rnacentral:rRNA from 1 species
GAUGAACGCUGGCGGCGUGCCUAACACAUGCAAGUCGAGCGAAUGGAUUAAGAGCUUGCUCUUAUGAAGUUAGCGGCGGACGGGUGAGUAACACGUGGGUAACCUGCCCAUAAGACUGGGAUAACUCCGGGAAACCGGGGCUAAUACCGGAUAACAUUUUGAACCGCAUGGUUCGAAAUUGAAAGGCGGCUUCGGCUGUCACUUAUGGAUGGACCCGGGUCGCACUAGCUAGUUGGUGAGGUAACGGCUCACCAAGGCAACGAUGCGUAGCCGACCUGAGAGGGUGAUCGGCCACACUGGGACUGAGACACGGCCCAGACUCCUACGGGAGGCAGCAGUAGGGAAUCUUCCGCAAUGGACGGAAGUCUGACGGAGCAACGCCGCGUGAGUGAUGAAGGCUUUCGGGUCGUAAAACUCUGUUGUUAGGGAAGAACAAGUGCUAGUUGAAUAAGCUGGCACCUUGACGGUACCUAACCAGAAAGCCACGGCUAACUACGUGCCAGCAGCCGCCGUAA